ACAAAGUAAAGAAACAAAGUAAAUAUUAGAUUCAACAUCCAAAGAUUAUUUAUUUUAUAUCAGUAUAGUAUGCCAACAACGCAUUGCAUCCCAAACCGGAUAAACUGGAGGACAGCGACAAUUCUUGUGGACCUUCGAUAAAAAGCCUAGUGUUUACAGCCAAGUUUUCCCACUCUAAAUCCAUUUUAAACAGGCUUAAAAAACGCUGGCCGUCUAUGCAAUACCUGCAGUGCUACUAGCAGCAAGGCUAGCUACAGACAAAUGGGUACGAAUUUACAG